rnacentral:rRNA from 1 species
CCUACGGGUGGCAGCAGUGAGGAAUAUUGGUCAAUGGGCGGAAGCCUGAACCAGCCAAGUAGCGUGCAGGAUGACGGCCCUACGGGUUGUAAACUGCUUUUAUACGGGAAUAACGCGCCUUACGUGUAGGGCUUUGCAUGUACCGUAUUAAUAAGGACCGGCUAAUUCCGUGCCAGCAGCCGCGGUAAUACGGAAGGGCCGGGCGUUAGCCGGAUUUAUUGGGUUUAAAGGUAGCGUAGGCCGAAUAUCAAGCGUUCUGCGAAAGGGCCGGGCUCAACCCGGGCCUUGCAGCGCGAACUGGCGUGCUUGAGUCCGCGGAAAGCAGGCGGAAUUCGUCGUGUAGCGGUGAAAUGCUUAGAUAUGACGAAGAACCCCGAUGGCGAAGGCAGCUUGCUGCAGCGGAACUGACGCUGAUGCUCGAAAGCGCGGGUAUCGAACAGGAUUAGAUACCCGUGUAGUC